AGGCAGUAAACAGCAAGUGCACCCCGAGUCUCAAAUGCCCACGUGUUUGGUUUUCUCUUUGUGACAGAAUUCCUGACGUAAACAACUCGAAAGGACGACUUAUUUUAAUUCCCCGUUUCAUUGGUUGCCGUCCAAGAUUAGCUGGAUACAUAGAUCUGAGCUUGGGGAGCCGCAAGCGGCAUGAUGGUUGGAAGAGUAAGACGGGGACUGCUCACCUGGAAAGAAGAGGGAGAGGGAAGGAAAGGGAAAGUGAGAGAGGGAGCAAAUACUCUCUCCCCAAACAUCUUCAACUUUCUCCAUAUUUGAGCAACCACUUCAGACAUGAACCAUGUUAAAAUGGAGGUAUUUGUUCCUUCUUUUCUUCCACCCAGUUUUCCCAUUGACUUGUGAACGCUGCACACACACAUAAGGCAAGCCCCGCCCCCCGGCCGUUAAUAGGCUCUGAGUUCACCUUUACUGCCACACCCAGACACGGACUGUCUUCAUCUCUCAGGUACUUCCGAAGUCAAUCAAGCUUAAAACCAUCACGACCUGUGACAAAAACGGGGUUGAAGGGUAUCAAUUACAAUUUGGAAGUUUCUAACUUUCAAAAAAAUGUUUGUAAGAUUGAAACUUGACAGACUGAGAACAACAUGUGUCACAAAAUCUGGCUAAGAAAUAGCCUAAGAUUGACGAAUAGGGGGUUAGCUCCUGGCUGGGAACACAUGGGGAAGCUGACCAAGGUUCAGGAUGGGAAGGAGCACUGUCAGAGGGGAGCACUGUCAGAGAGGAGCACUGUCAGAGAGGAGCACUGUCAGAGAGGACCUGGGCAAAAACCAUCAGUAAACACAAAAGCUGCUGGCACCCACUGAUCUUUAAAAGAUGAAAUUGAGCUGGGCAGUGGUGGGUAUGGCCAAGUGAGACAAGGACAAAAGAGCCAUUUGGUCUACCUGCCUCACCUAUCUUGGACUCCUGCAACAAAAUGAUUUGAGGCAAAGUCUUGGUCUAAUUAAUUGAUGAGCUAUAUGUAUAGAAAUAUCAUCUUUUAAAAAACUGCAGCAGACAAGAGAACCCUGGUCAAUGGAACCCCAAAGUCUGUGGAGACUGAUAAAAUAUCCAGCGGAGAUGUUCCAAGAAGACUGAUGUACAAACUGGCCAGACCCUUUACAAAGGCGUGUCUACAGAGUGAGUUCCAGGACAGCCAGGGCUACACAGAAGAACCCUGUCUCGAAAAACAAAAACAACAAAAAACAAAAAGCAAAAAAACAAAAAAACAAAAAAAAAACCCACAACAACAGCAACAACAAAAAAAAAAGAAGCGAAAUCCUGAAGGGAUGAUUCCUGUUUCCCAAGUACAUAGCUAUGAAAAGUAUGGUGUCACUCAAGGUCACAAGCUCAAAUUGGUCGGAGUCCGCAAAGAGACGGGAGUCAUUACCUCGUUUGGUUGCUUAGCAGGGUUGAGCCAGCAAAUUAGCCACUUCCACGGAAGUUCUGCUGUACUGGCGUCCUACCCUAGUUAGCAUCUCAUCUCGCUUCUUGAUCACCAGCCUCAGAGAGAAAUGCCUGCCAGGACCUCGUGACCAUGAAUGUGCUGCCUUUGAAACAAAUCAAAACAACCAAACCAUUCCAAUGACGAUAAUAAUAACAACCCACCUGCAACAGUAACUGAAGAGGCAAGAAUGCAUCCUAGGCCUUGAAAGGGUCUCACUAUAACCCUGGAUGGCCUGGAACUCGCUUUGUAGAUCAGGCUGAACUUCAGCUCACAGAGAUCCCCCUGCCUCUGCCUCCUGAACACUGAUAUUAAAUGUGUAUGACACCACACAUGGCCUCCUUUCUUGAUUAAACAACUUAGAACGUGUUACUGAGGGCUGGAGAGAUGGCUCAGCGGUUAAGAGCACUGACUGCCUUCUGAAGAUCCUGAGUUCAAAUCCCAGCAAUCACAUGGUGGCUCACAACUAUCCGCAAUGAGAUCUGAUGCCUUCUUCUGGUGUGUCUGAAGACAAUAAAUCUUUAAAUAAUAAUAAUAGUAAUAAUAAUAAUAAUAAUAAUAAUAAUAAAGAAUUGUUACUGAGCCAACCAAUUUGUAGAGCAAAUUAAAAACAAAUCAAAUUCCCAGUUAGACAUGCUCAAAGCCUGGCACAAUAAUAUUUACACCUUUAUUCCCAGCACUUGGAAAGCAGAGGCAGGUGAGUUCAAGACUAGCCUGGUCUACAUAGACAGUAUGUAAUGCCAGUCUCCACACAUGGACAGUUCCAGCUCCCCCGACCACAUUCUGCGCUGUCUAACACACACCACCAACAACACCAACACCAACAAAAACCCAUUACCUCCAUCACCAAUACUACCAUCACCACCACCACCACCACGAACAACAACAAUAACAACAAAAGCCUGAUAAUUUAUCUUUCUUGUCUCUUCAGAGUCUUUCUUGGGCCCUAUCUCCUAGUAAGGAAGCCCAGGCAGAUCAUAAAAAGUCACAUGGAGAAGAAUCAGGGGCCCUUCCCCUGACUGAGCUCUUAGUCGGCAGCUAAUUGCACUUCUCUGGCCGUAUGAGUGACUCAUCGUGAAGCAGGUCUUGGUGCUCCAGUGCAGCUGCCGAAGAUGGUCUCUCGGGAACAGUUACGGAUCUCCCACGUACCAGAUCCCUGUUCAAACUUCCCAACUCGUGUGAGGUGGCACAUUUGCAGACCCAGUAGUGAGGAAGCUGAGGCAGGAGAAGAAAGAAUUCAAGGCCAACCUAACCGACAGUGAGAGCUCCAGACCACCCAGGGAGAUGUAGUGGGAGCACCUGUCUCAAACAAAUACAAAGUAACAAACAACAACAACAAAAAUCUUUCUUGUUUUAAGGUGUUUGUUAUUUUGUUACAGUGACUAAUGCCUAAACACAAUCUUCCCUCCUGCAACCUCUCUCUGCAUCCUUUUUUUUUUUUUUACCUCGGGGGCCUAUUCAAUACUCAAGAUACUUGGCCAAGGUUGCCCUCAGUUAAUGUGUAAAUGUAGAUAGAAAUGUAGAACUCUGGUUCUGCUUAGAAUUUAGGCUCAAGCCAUGUUGUGGGUGGGGCCUCUGAAGCUGCUUUUUACAGCUACUGCAAUGCUUGGUGGGAAAUGUAGCUCACAGUAACCCCCCAAAAGAGUUCCGGGUUGUUCGAGGGAUAUGAGCGUCACAAGAACCAAGGACAGAACUCUACCAUCAGAUCCAGUGUGAGAGAGAAGCCACUGUAGAAAGUGGGCAAAAGCAAUCUCCGGGGUUGACCACUGGGCGGUGGGGUUCAGAGAUGCUGCAGUGACAGACACCAAAGCAGUGAAUCGGAGUAGACAAAAGGAAAACUGGGAGUGCCACAGUUUGUUGGGAAGGGAAGGAAGACAGACCAUGAGUAGUCGAAGGAGGAGGUGAGGUUAGGGAAGGAACUUGUAGAUUAGUUUGGUCUUAAAGAUGAGACAUUGCCAAACCAGUGUUGUUCAAAUGAUCCCUGAGGAGGCAGUGGAGUGCACUCGGGAUGCAGGGAGAUGAUGGGGUGUGAGAACUACACAGGAGGAAGAAACGAAAACGGAAAGGAGAGAGAAGGAGUAAAUUGAAAACUAUGCCACUAGCUUUUACAGGGAGGACAGCAAACUGGAUGGCACAUAGGCAGACCACUUGAAUGAAGAUGCAUUCUGUCCAUUCUU
rnacentral:lncRNA from 1 species